GCUCAUGAAUAAGCAAAGAAAGUGGUUUCUUGAGAUGGAAUCUACUCCUGGUGAAGAUGCUAUGAA
rnacentral:pre_miRNA from 1 species